AAGGAUGUGGAAUUGCACAGACAACCAGGAUGUUGGCUUAGAAGCAGCCAUCAUUUAAAGAGUGCGUAAUUGCUCACUGGUCAAGUGACUCCGCGCCGAUAAUUCACGGGACUCAAGCCUACCGCCGAAGCUACGGUCCCGUCACCGCAAGGUGAUGGGAGGUAGGGGAACGUUCCAGUUGCCUGCGAAGGUGCUUCGUGAGAAGCGCUGGAGGUCCUGGAAAUGACUAUGCCAGCAUAAGUAGCGAGAAUUCCGGUGAGAAACCGGAACACCGUAAGUCUAAGGUUUCCUGAGUAAAGUUAAUCUGCUCAGGGUUAGUCGGUCCCUAAGCCGAGGCCGAAAGGCGUAGGCGAUGGAAAACAGGUUAAUAUUCCUGUACCACUGGAAGAGCGUUUUAGCAAUGGGGGGACGUAGAAGGGUAGGCCAUCCGGGUGAUGGAUGUCCCGGUUCAAGCCGGUAGGAGGAGUUUCCAGGCAAAUCCGGAAACUCAUUCAACUCCGAGAAGUGACGAGGAGAGGUUUUACCUCAUAAACUGGCUGAUCCCAC
rnacentral:rRNA from 1 species